rnacentral:rRNA from 1 species
UCCGGUUGAUCCCGCCGGAGGUUACUGCUAUCGGUGUUCGCCUAAGCCAUGCGAGUCAUAUGUUCUUAACAUGGCGUACUGCUCAGUAACACGUGGAUAACCUGCCCUUGGGUCCGGCAUAACCCCGGGAAACUGGGGAUAAUUCCGGAUAACGCACAUAUGCUGGAAUGCUUUAUGCGUAAAAUGGAUUCGUCUGCCGGAUGGGUCUGCGGCCUAUCAGGUAGUAGUGGGUGUAAUGUACCUACUAGCCAACAACGGGUACGGGUUGUGAGAGCAAGAGCCCGGAGAUGGAUUCUGAGACAUGAAUCCAGGCCCUACGGGGCGCAGCAGGCGCGAAAACUUUACAAUGCGGGAAACCGUGAUAAGGGGACACCGAGUGCCAGCUCAUAUGCUAGCGUCCAGGUGUGUAAAAUACACCUGUUAGCAUGGGCCGGGCAAGACCGGUGCCAGCCGCCGCGGUAACACCGGCGGCCCGAGUGGUGAUCGUGAUUAUUGGGUCUAAAGGGUCCGUAGCCGGUUUGGUCAGUCCUCCGGGAAAUCUGACGGCUUAACCGUAGGCUUUCGGGGGAUACUGCCAGGCUUGGAACCGGGAGAGGUAAGAGGUACUACAGGGGUAGGAGUGAAAUCUUGUAAUCCUUGUGGGACCACCUGUGGCGAAGGCGUCUUACCAGAACGGGUUCGACGGUGGGGGACGAAAGCUGGGGGCACGAACCGGAUUAGAUACCGGGUAGUCCCAGCCGUAAACGAUGCUCGCUAGGUGUCAGGCAUGGCGCGACCGUGUCUGGUGCCGCAGGGAAGCCGUGAAGCGAGCCACCUGGGAAGUACGGCCGCAAGGCUGAAACUUAAAGGAAUUGGCGGGGGAGCACAACAACGGGUGGAGCCUGCGGUUUAAAUGGAGUCAACGCC